CGACAGCUGCUUGAGAGGAACUCAGAUGAAAUUGGACAGAGGGAGCUCUGGAAAAUCCCCCUUCAGCUGCGUCUUCAUGCCGUGUUUUCUGAAAGCUCUGAUGUUGUGCUGUUGCUGAGUCUAUGGUUGAAUUCGGAGCGACUGUCAACAAUGUGAAGUGCCCCUGCCGGGAUUGGGAGAUGCCCUUGAGCGACACAUCAACACGAGGCACUAAAAACCCUCAUGCCGCCUCAACUAAAUGACUCCCAUUCACAGCUCACACUGACCAACACAGCCUCUCUGCCCACCGGCUCCCUCAGAGUAGAGGUCAGGUCAGAGGCCACCUGGCUGAAACCACGUCUCAGAGCAUGAGCAAACCUGGAGACAAAGGCCUCUGCUGUUGGAAGAUCUGACGCUCGGGUGCCAAACUUUCACCUUAACCCCCCCCCAUCCCAUCCAGUGUGAAGAAAACCCCUGGGGGAUGCUUCACCGGGGGGCCGCGAACACUCGGGCCUCUGCGACAGCAAAGUUUGGACGCUGUCACGAGGAGAGUCACACUGGGAACUCAUCAGCGAGAGAAAGGUGGGGGAAAAUAAAGGAGGCGACGCACCUCUGCUUUGGCUCGCAGACAAAGACGCUCAGAGACGACGCGGCGACCUUUAUGGUCUCCAUUUCCCUGCCACCUCAUUUGACAUCAUCCGACGAUGAGCUGUCGGGAUUGAUUUUCUGAAUGUGUCUAAAUGCUACUUGGGCUGCUUUUUUUUAUUGUUUCAAAGACAGAUUUACAAAACUGACUAAUAAAAAAAGAAGGCUUAAUUGAAACAAUACGCUGUGAAAUUAGAUGAAAGCGUAUUGGUUUCUUGGUGCCACUGAUGUCCUGAAAAUCCUGUGUGUUGAGUUUUGCAGAUAAGAGUUAAAGAAACGCAGGCUGGCAGCGGGCCCUUCUCUUCUCACAUCCUCAGUAAAGCAACAUGGGAGACCAGGGGUUUGGUCUUAAGAAGAAGUAAGUAGAGUUUGUUAUUUCACCGCCUUUGACUAAGGUCAUACCAAAUUAACAGACGACUGACUGAAUAAA